rnacentral:rRNA from 1 species
GGCAAACGGGUGCGGAACACGUACGCAACUUACCCAUAACUGGGGGAUAGCCCGGGGAAACCCGGAUUAAUACCUCGUAACAUAAUUGAGUGGCAUCACUUGAUUAUUAUAGCUCCGGCGGUUAUGGAUGGGCGUGCGGCUGAUUAGGUAGUUGGCGGGGUAACGGCCCACCAAGCCUGCGAUCAGUAACUGGUGUGAGAGCACGACCAGUCACACGGGCACUGAGACACGGGCCCGACUCCUACGGGAGGCAGCAGUAAGGAAUAUUGGUCAAUGGACGCAAGUCUGAACCAGCCAUGCCGCGUGAAGGAUGAAGGUCCUCUGGAUUGUAAACUUCUUUUAUAUGGGACGAAACCUGGGUAUUCCUACCCAAUUGACGGUACCAUAGGAAUAAGCACCGGCUAACUCCGUGCCAGCAGCCGCGGUAAUACGGAGGGUGCAAGCGUUAUCCGGAUUCACUGGGUUUAAAGGGUGCGUAGGAGGGCAGGUAAGUCAGUGGUGAAAUCUUCGAGCUUAACUCGGAAACUGCCGUUGAUACUAUCUGUCUUGAAUACCGUGGAGGUGAGCGGAAUAUGUCAUGUAGCGGUGAAAUGCUUAGAUAUGACAUAGAACACCGAUUGCGAAGGCAGCUCACUACACGAAUAUUGACUCUGAGGCACGAAAGCGUGGGGAUCAAACAGGAUUAGAUACCCUGGUAGUCC